GUCAUCCGUCACGUGGAGCUGGAAGGAGAGAACCAGAACUUGAUGAGAAAGGAUGGGGUCCACUUAAAUGAAAUAGGGUUAGACAUCCUGAACACGGGUUUGCAGUGUGGGAUUGAGGCUGCGCAGUCGGCGGGGGGCGCGAUGACGGCAGGAGGCGUGAAGGGAAGUCGUCAUCGCGGUGGCGGGAGUCCUGGCCAGCGCAGGCAGAAGUGGUGAAGUUGCCGAGGAGGCUUGGGGAGUCGCAGCCUGUUGGGAGCUGAUGGCGGAGGCAGGCUGCUCAGGACUCAUGGUUUGUGGGGAUAGACCUGUCUGUUGGGCAAUCACCCCAACAGCUGACAGUAUGAUUAUGUUGCUGGCAUGGAAAGAAUAAAUAAAAAUGUGGCCGAUGCCCUUACCCAACUUAAUUACGGUCUCUGUGUGUCAUCGGGGAAAGGGGGGUAUCGGGUGGGUGGUACAGACAUCUAGACAGCAGUCAAGACACCUCCCUGGACUGACAAGGAAGGAGGGACAUGACUGCGGCUAGGUUAAGGAGUCUUGAAGGAGUAGUGGAAGGGAGGGGUAUAGAUGGAUACAUAGUUGCUAAGAUGGAAGACAGUUAUAAGCACAGUUAGGGGAGGGGACUUACCAGUCAGCUUUUGGAAGUGCAGGGAUCCUGACUUUCCCACCCUCCCGCCCCUAGGACAUUUGGUUAUACAGGAAUGUGGGUUGGUUUUCUGGUGCCUGUUGUUGGUUGUUUUUUUUCUUGUUUUUGUCACAGCACGCGGGAGUCCUGGCCAGCGCAGGCAGAAGUGGUGAAGUUGCCGAGGAGGCUUGGGGAGUCGCAGCCUGUUGGGAGCUGAUGGCGGAGGCAGGCUGCUCAGGACUCAUGGUUUGUGGGGAUAGACCUGUCUGUUGGGCAAUCACCCCAACAGCUGACAGUAUGAUUAUGUUGCUGGCAUGGAAAGAAUAAAUAAAGCUGUGGCCGAUGCCCUUACCCAACUUAAUUACGGUCUCUGUGUGUCAUUGGGGAAAGGGGGGCAUCGGGUGGGUGGUACAGACAUCUAGACAGCAGUCAAGA